rnacentral:rRNA from 1 species
CGGACUGUGGUCUGCAACCCGACCACACGAAGCUGGAAUCGCUAGUAAUCGCGAAUCAGAAUGCCGCGGUGAAUACGUUCCCGGGCCUUGUACACACCGCCCGUCACACCAUGGGAGCCGGUAAUACCCGAAGCCAGUAGUCUAACCGCAAGGGGGACGCUGUCGAAGGUAGGAUUGGCGACUGGGGUGAAGUCGUAACAAGGUAGC